rnacentral:lncRNA from 1 species
GACAGCUGGAUGCUCAUAUCUGCUUCUGCAUUCAAAUUGCCACCAUAUCACAUCAUGUAACCUUUAGAAAAUUUCACUGUACCCUCAAGAGAAUGAGAAUGAAUAAGAAAAAAAGAGAGAGGUAAGCAGUCCUGACAUUGGCCAACAUGGAGCGAUGUCUGCCUUUAUCUGGAGUAUGUCGGGGAGAACAUGAGUGCAGUCUCGCACCGGGACAAGUUCCACAGUAGAGUUUCCCACAUCGGGGAAAUCGCAGGGACCAGCAAGUCUGGAGUGUGAGGGAGAAGACUAGUACUGGGAGAACCAUCUUCUUGACGAUGACAUUCUUUCUGCCAAUGAGGAAACCGAAAGACCAAAAUCUUGUGCCCAAGUUUUCCACAGCUGAGUUCUCCACUUGCCUCAUAGUUGUUCCAGCCCAAUCUGGAAGCAUGCUUUCAAAAAGAGUAAUCUGACAGUAGCAUGGAAGAUGAUUCAGAGGGGAGGCUGAGAAGAGCAGGCUCAGAGAAGGAUAUAGACAAGAAUGGAUCAAGACCCAGAUGACUUUUGGAGGCUGAGCUGAGCUCGUGCCACUGCACUCCAGCCCAGGUGACAGAGCUAGAAAAAACACUCAAAUAAGCGAAUUGACAAUAAGGAUGGAAACAAUGGGGAGAGCGAGAAUCUAUAUGAUUUGGCAAUUGUGUGGUAGGAGAAUGAUGACAAGGACUCCAAGACAAUGCCAUGACUUAAAGGAGUUAAAGGUUCUCACAACCAAUUGAAAGAGAAUAAAACAUUCUCUUGCUUCAUAACCAAAGUGCUGCUCACACUUCCAGCAACCUUUGGAAGGGGAAUCCUGGCUAUUGAUGUCCCUGGAAAGAGAGUGGUAGAAGAAAAGAAUUGAAGACAUGGAAGAAAGAUGAAAACGCUGGCUACUAAAUACCUAUGUGUGGUUACUGAGUGUGGUAUACUUGGACACCGAGCUCCCCCACCCAUCAGAUGUCACAAAGAGUCCUUUUACUCUUGGAUAAUUUCAAAUCAAACUGACCUCCCCAGCACCAGAGCCAGAAACAGGAAAAGGCUACAAUUAACUAACUGAAGCACAAUGUGAAGUUAAUCAAUAAUGGAACGAUUAUGACGAAGAUGCCAUACAUUAACUCUACCUAGACAUGAGUGCUGCUUUCAGAGCAUGAACAUUCUUUCAAAUUCCAGAUACCACUUUUUCCCUUAUGAAUGUUUCUGCAAAAGAAUGAAAGCAAAAUACUGAAGCAAAUAUCAGGCGAGAUUUUGGCUCAUGCACAGAAAGUCAAAUAUCCAUCGACCUCAGCUACCUGCAGCUCAGCAAGGAAGCCACUGAUGAUCAGCAAAAUUCCUAAACAGCAAAGGCAGCAGCACAAAAAUUAAGAUUCCAUCAGCCACGCACUCUCUCACUUUGUCACUCUUCUUUGAACCCCAUUCAAAAAAAAUAAUAAUAAGCAUUUUCAGUUCUCUUAGCUCUAAGGAACAGAUUGCAAUGUGACAAUGGAUUCUGGUGGGAAUGAUGAAGGAAAUAGAAAACUUUCAAAGGUGGACACAGGAAUUCAAAAUAUGUAUGUGAGCCAGACGUGGUAGCUCGUCUUGUAAUCCCAACACGUUGGGAGGCCAAGUGGGAGGAUUAGAGUUUGAGAUCAGGAGUUUAAGUCCAGCCUGGGCAACAUGGCAAAACCCUAUCUCUACAAAACAUAAAAAAUUACCUGGGUGUGGUGGUGUGUGCCUGUAUCCCAGCUACUGGGGAAGCUUAGGUGGAAGGAUCGCUCGAACUUGGGAGAUGGAGGUUGCAGUGAGCCAAGAUGGCACCAUUGUACUCCAGCCUGGGCCUGACCCUGUCUCAAAACAACAGAAAAUCAAGUGGCUUAGCUGGGUGAUCCUGGCUCAAGGUCUCUUAUGAGGUUGAAGUCAAGAUGUUUUCUGAAGGACAAUAUGCUAUGUGAAAUAAACUAGUUGACGCUGGUAAAACCCAGAGCUGCUCAACAGGCUGACCAGAAAGCAAUGCCUGUGGCCGG